rnacentral:rRNA from 1 species
CCCUUAGAUGUUCUGGGCCGCACGCGCGCUACACUGAUUCAUGCAACAAGUUUUGUCCUUGGCUGAUAGGCCUGGGUAAUCUUUGAACGUGAAUCGUGAUGGGGAUAGAUGAUUGCAAUUAUUCAUCUUCAACGAGGAAUUCCUAGUAAACGCAAGUCAUCAGCUUGCAUUGAUUACGUCCCUGCCCUUUGUACACACCGCCCGUCGCACCUACCGAUUGAAUGGUCCGGUGAAAUCUUCGGAUCUGAGAGAUGUCUGAUUAAUUUCGGACGCCCUUUGGAAAAGUUGUUUAAACCUUACCAUUUAGAGGAAGGUGAAGUCGUAACA